rnacentral:rRNA from 1 species
ACAGCAGUCGCCGCGGGAAUACGUAGGGUGCAAGCGUUAAUCGGAAUUACUGGGCGUAAAGCGUGCGCAGGCGGUUUUGUAAGACAGAGGUGAAAUCCCCGGGCUCAACCUGGGAACUGCCUUUGUGACUGCAAGGCUAGAGUACGGCAGAGGGGGAUGGAAUUCCGCGUGUAGCAGUGAAAUGCGUAGAUAUGCGGAGGAACACCGAUGGCGAAUGCAAUCCCCUGGGCCUGUACUGACGCUCAUGCACGAAAGCGUGGGGAGCAAACAGGAUUAGAUACCCCAGUAGUCCCUGUCUCUUAUAC